ACUACAACACGACGAUAAGUCUUGUUUAUAUUGCAACACGUCAUUAAAAAGAGGAAACUGGUCACUUAGUACAGGGUAUUGCUUUGUCAAUGAUUUCUGUAUGCAGGAUGGAGAUUCGUACAAAAUGAACAAAUGUUUUAUGUGUAAUGCUUCGGCAAGCGUUUCCUCUUUGUCCUUGAAUCAUGGAUACUGCAAUAUUGGUGGCAUUUGUGUACCUAACGGACGAAUAAAUGAUGCCAAGCCUUGUUUAUAUUGUAACACAUCAC